rnacentral:rRNA from 1 species
AUUGAACGCUGGCGGCAGGCCUAACACAUGCAAGUCGGGCGCGCGGCGGCCGGGUGAGUAAUGUAUGGGUAUCUGCCUGCUGGCGGGGGAUAACUACUUGACACGGUAGCUAAUACCGCAUACCAUCAGCUGAACCCAUAUGGGCUUAGCUAGUAGGUAAGGUAACGGCUUACCCAGGCGACGAUCCCUAGCUGGUCUGAGAGGAGGAUCAGUCACACGUGGACUGAGACACGGCCCAGACACCUGCGUGAGGCAGAAGGGGGGAAGAGUGCACAAUGGGAGGAAGGCUGAUACAGACAUGCCGCGUGUAUGAAGAAGGCCUUCGGGUUGGAAAGGACUUAAAGUCGGGAGGCGUUACCGACAGAAGAAGCACCGGGUAACUCCGUGCCAGCAGCCGCGGUAAUUC